rnacentral:snRNA from 1 species
AGCCAUGCAAUGACCACAAAGCGAACUAUUCUUUCGCCUUUUACUAAAGAAUACCGUGUGCUCGUUGCUUCAAAUGGCAUACCUCUAUUUUUGUAAGGUGGUCUUCUGUUUGAAGGCCC